rnacentral:rRNA from 1 species
CGGAACGUGCCCAGUAGUGGGGGAUAGCCCGGCGAAAGCCGGAUUAAUACCGCAUACGACCUACGGGUGAAAGCGGGGGACUCGCAAGAGCCUCGCGCUAUUGGAGCGGCCGAUGUCAGAUUAGCUAGUUGGUGGGGUAAAUGCCUACCAAGGCGACGAUCUGUAGCUGGUCUGAGAGGACGACCAGCCACACUGGGACUGAGACACGGCCCAGACUCCUACGGGAGGCAGCAGUGGGGAAUUUUGGACAAUGGGCGCAAGCCUGAUCCAGCCAUGCCGCGUGCGGGAAGAAGGCCUUCGGGUUGUAAACCGCUUUUGUCAGGGAAGAAACGCUCUGGGUUAAUACCUCGGGGUAAUGACGGUACCUGAAGAAUAAGCACCGGCUAACUACGUGCCAGCAGCCGCGGUAAUACGUAGGGUGCAAGCGUUAAUCGGAAUUACUGGGCGUAAAGCGUGCGCAGGCGGUUAUGCAAGACAGAUGUGAAAUCCCCGGGCUCAACCUGGGAACUGCAUUUGUGACUGUAUAGCUAGAGUACGGUAGAGGGGGAUGGAAUUCCGCGUGUAGCAGUGAAAUGCGUAGAUAUGCGGAGGAACACCGAUGGCGAAGGCAAUCCCCUGGACCUGUAUUGACGCUCAUGCACGAAAGCGUGGGGAGCAAACAGGAUUAGAUACCCUGGUAGUCCACGCCCUAAACGAUGUCAACUGGUUGUUGGACGGCUUGCUGUUCAGUAACGAAGCUAACGCGUGAAGUUGACCGCCUGGGGAGUACGGCCGCAAGGUUGAAACUCAAAGAAUUGACGGGGACCCGCACAAGCGGUGGAUGAUGUGGUUUAAUUCGAUGCAACGCGAAAAACCUUACCUACCCUUGACAUGUCAAGAAUCUUGCAGAGAUGUGAGAGUGCUCGAAAGAGAACUUGAACACAGGUGCUGCAUGGCCGUCGUCAGCUCGUGUCGUGAGAUUUUGGGUUAAGUCCCGCAACGAGCGCAACCCUUGUCAUUAGUUGCUACGAAAGGGCACUCUAAUGAGACUGCCGGUGACAGACCGGAGGAAGGUGGGGAUGACGUCAGGUCCUCAUGGCCCUUAUGGGUAGGGCUACACACGUCAUACAAUGGCCGGUACAGAGGGCUGCCAACCCGCGAGGGGGAGCUAAUCCCAGAAAACCGGUCGUAGUCCGGAUCGCAGUCUGCAACUCGACUGCGUGAAGUCGGAAUCGCUAGUAAUCGCGGAUCAGCUUGCCGCGGUGAAUACGUUCCCGGGUCUUGUACACACCGCCCGUCACACCAUGGGAGCGGGUUCUGCCAGAAGUAGUUAGCCUAACCGCAAGGGGGGCGAUUACCACGGCAGGGUUCGUGACUGGGGUGAAGUCGUAACAAGGUA